rnacentral:rRNA from 1 species
AUGGUGGGAACUCCAGGGAGACUGCCGGUGAUAAACCGGAGGAAGGUGGGGACGACGUCAAGUCAUCAUGGCCCUUACGAGUAGGGCUACACACGUGCUACAAUGGCGUAUACAGAGGGCUGCCAACUAGCGAUAGUGAGCGAAUCCCAGAAAGUACGUCGUAGUCCGGAUUGGAGUCUGCAACUCGACUCCAUGAAGUCGGAAUCGCUAGUAAUCGUGAAUCAGAAUGUCACGGUGAAUACGUUCCCGGGCCUUGUACACACCGCCCGUCACACCAUGGGAGUGGGCUGCACCAGAAGUAGAUAGCUUAACCUUCGGGAGGGCGUUUACCACGGUGUGGUUCAUGACUGGGGUGAAGUCGUAACAAGGUAGCCCUAGGGGAACCUGGGGCUGGAUCACCUCCUUACCU